GCCGGUGUGGCGGAAUUGGUAGACGCGGUGGAUUCAAAAUCCAUUGUUCGCAAGGACGUGCUGGUUCGAUUCCAGUCAUCGGUA
rnacentral:tRNA from 1 species